AGGGGGUGUGAUCGCUCAGAGCGAACGCUGGCGGUUGGCCUAACACAUGCAAGUCGAACGAACUCUUCGGAGUUAGUGGCGGACGGGUGAGUAACACGUGGGAACGUGCCUUUAGGUUCGGAAUAACUCAGGGAAACUUGUGCUAAUACCGAAUGUGCCCCCCGAUUCAUUUUGGGGUGGGAAAGAUUUAUCGCCUUUAGAGCGGCCCGCGUCUGAUUAGCUAGUUGGUGAGGUAAAGGCUCACCAAGGCGACGAUCAGUAGCUGGUCUGAGAGGAUGAUCAGCCACAUUGGGACUGAGACACGGCCCAAACUCCUACGGGAGGCAGCAGUGGGGAAUCUUGCGCAAUGGGCGAAAGCCUGACGCAGCCAUGCCGCGUGAAUGAUGAAGGUCUUAGGAUUGUAAAAUUCUUUCACCGGGGACGAUAAUGACGGUACCCGGAGAAGAAGCCCCGGCUAACUUCGUGCCAGCAGCCGCGGUAAUACGAAGGGGGCUAGCGUUGCUCGGAAUUACUGGGCGUAAAGGGAGCGUAGGCGGACAUUUAAGUCAGGGGUGAAAUCCCGGGGCUCAACCUCGGAAUUGCCUUUGAUACUGGGUGUCUUGAGUAUGAGAGAGGUGUGUGGAACUCCGAGUGUAGAGGUGAAAUUCGUAGAUAUUCGGAAGAACACCAGUGGCGAAGGCGACACACUGGCUCAUUACUGACGCUGAGGCUCGAAAGCGUGGGGAGCAAACAGGAUUAGAUACCCUGGUAGUCCACGCCGUAAACGAUGAUUGCUAGUUGUCGGGAUGCAUGCAUUUCGGUGACGCAGCUAACGCAUAAGCAAUCCGCCUGGAGACGCCACUGA
rnacentral:rRNA from 2 species